GGAGGUAUUCACUUCACAUUGUGUUCAAGAUGGUUACUUCCGCCCACUCUGAAGAGUCUCGGCGUCUGAUUGGUCCAAUUUUCAGUUAGGCGCUGCCUGAUUGGCCAGUGGAUGAUGUCGGAUCCUAACAGAGGGCUAAAUCACUAGUUAACUAUUUUCAUCAUGGAAGUUAUACAGCUCACGUAUCACACUUAAUAUUGAAUAUAUAUAUAAAAAGGGGUUUCCAAAAGGACCAUUUAUAAUCGAAAUACAAAACUUCACACACGAUUUUGAGCACAACAGAGCGCUCAGUGAACAUCACUUCCGGGACCUGCAUCACCGGAGGGGGACAUCUAUCUUGGCCACAAACCAUCUUUGACAGUCUUCAGCAGCAUGGUUGAAUCAGGCGCAUCAACACAUGAUAUAGACAUCGUGUCCAAAAGAAGAGCGAGACGUAAUCCUGAGGCUGAAGCCACCGAGUUUAUUUGAUCUGGAUGUGACAAGUCUUGUUUUAAGGCCCAGUGGAUCAAUGAUUGGAAAGACACCAACUGUUGAUGUUCUAUCUCAACAUUCUCCAGAUUCAUGUGAGCGAUAAACCGACUUCAUCCCUCCAACAGACACCAACUGUUGGGGUUCUAUCUCAACAUUCUCCAGAUUCAGAUGUGAGCGAUAAACCGACUUCAUCCCUCCAACAGGUUAUUACAAGU